rnacentral:rRNA from 1 species
AAAAUUUAAUUUUAUUUUCAGACAAGCUUAAUUCUUAAAAUUAUUUUUUGUUAACCAAUUUUUUGUAUAAUUAAAUAAAAUUUUAACUGUAGGGGAGUUAAAAUUUGAAAAUAAUUAUUUACAAGAAAACUUACUUGUUGUACCUUUUGUAUCAGGGUUGAUUUAUUUUUUUUAAUUAAUUUAAUUUUCCCGAAAGUUUAAGAUCUUAAUUUAUUUAAUUUUUGUUGUGGCAAAACCAUAAAUAAAAUAAAUCAAGCUUUGAAAUGAAAACCGUUUAAAUUGAUAUCUGGUUGAUUUGUAAUUAAAUUGAAUUUAGGUGGUUUAAUUUAGUUUAAAUUUAAUUUUUAAAAUUAAUUUUAACCACUAGACUAAGUUGGGUUAAUCUAAUUUAGAUUGUUAAAAAUUUACUUAAGGGGGAAAUUGUAGGAUUAAAAUUUUUUUUCUAAAUAAAUUUGUUUUAAAUUAUUCUUUUAGUUGUUAAAUCUUUAGUUUUAUACAAAUCUGUCAAAUUAAUUUAUGAAAUUUUUUGAUAAUGAUUAAAUUAGUAAUUUCAAAGGUUAAUUUUAUGAAUUCAGCAAAUUUAUUUUCUGUCUGUUUAUCAAAAACAUUUCUUUUUGUAAAUUAUUAAAGGUUGGGCCUGCUCAAUGAAUAACUUAAAUAGCUGCAGUAUUUUAACUGUACAAAGGUAGCGUAGUAAUUAGUCUUUUAAUUGAGGUCUUGUAUGAAUGGUUUGACAAGAAGAAAACUUUAUUGAGUUAAUUGUAUUAAUUUUAUUUUUUAGUUAAAAAGCUAAAAUUUUUAAAUGGGACGAUAAGACCCUAUAGAUCUUUAAAUUUUUACUAUUUAAAUCAAUUUAAGGUUAUUUAAAUUUUAUUUGUAACAAAUUUUUUGUUGGGGUGACAUAUAAAAUUUUAAAACUUUAAUAGUUUUUUACAUAGAUUUAUGGAUUUCUGAACCCUAAUUUUGGGUUAUUAAAAUUAGAUACCUUAGGGAUAACAGCGUAAUAAAUUUGUAUAGUUCUCAUAGAUAAAUUUGUUUACGACCUCGAUGUUGAAUUAAUCUAAAGUUUUGGGGCAGAAAUUAAAAUUUUAGGUCUGUUCGACCUUUAAAAGAUUACAUGAUUUGAGUUCAAACCGGUGUAAGCCAGGUUGGUUUCUAUCUAUUUAAAUUUUUACUUAAUUAGUACGAAAGGACUUUUAAGUUGGGAAUACUUUCU